UACGGAGGAUUCAAGCGUUAUCCGGAUUUAUUGGGUUUAAAGGGAGCGUAGGCGGGUUGUUAAGUCAGUUGUGAAAGUUUGCGGCUCAACCGUAAAAUUGCAGUUGAUACUGGCAUCCUUGAGUACAGUAGAGGUAGGCGGAAUUCGUGGUGUAGCGGUGAAAUGCUUAGAUAUCACGAAGAACUCCGAUUGCGAAGGCAGCUCACUAGACUGCAACUGACACUGAUGCUCGAAAGUGUGGGUAUCAAACAGG
rnacentral:rRNA from 1 species